UACGGAGGGUGCAAGCGUUAUCCGGAUUUAUUGGGUUUAAAGGGUGCGUAGGCGGCCUAUUAAGUCAGGGGUGAAAGACGGUAGCUUAACUAUCGCAGUGCCUUUGAUACUGAUAGGCUUGAAUGUACUUGAGGUAGGCGGAAUGUGACAAGUAGCGGUGAAAUGCAUAGAUAUGUCACAGAACACCAAUUGCGAAGGCAGCUUACUAAGUAUGAUUGACGCUGAGGCACGAAAGCGUGGGGAUCAAACAGG
rnacentral:rRNA from 1 species